AUUGAACGCUGGCGGCAGGCCUAACACAUGCAAGUCGAGCGAGCGGCGGACGGGCGAGUAAUGUAUGGGGACUGCCCGAUAGAGGGGGAUACCUACUGGAAACGGUAGCUAAUACCGCAUACUAUCGGAUAACCCAUAUGGGAUUAGCUAGUAGGUGAGGUAAAGGCUCACCUAGGCGACGAUCCAUAGCUGGUCUGAGAGGAUGAUGAGCCACACUGGGCCUGAGAAACGGCCCGGACUGCUACGGAGGCAGCAGUGGGGAAUAUUGCACAAUGGGCGCAAGCCUGAUUCAGCUAUGCCGCGUGUAUGAAGAAGGCCCUAGGGUUGUAGAGUACUUUCAGUCGGUAGGCGUUAACGACAGAAGAAGCACCGGCUAACUCCGUGCCAGCAGCCGCGGUAAUAC
rnacentral:rRNA from 1 species